rnacentral:rRNA from 1 species
UAAAAACCCCGACUUCGGAAGGGGUGUAUUUAUUAGAUACAAAACCAAUGCCCUUCGGGGCUCUUUGGUGAUUCAUGAUAACUAUACGAAUCGCACGGCCUUGCGCCGGCGAUGGCUCAUUCAAAUUUCUUCCCUAUCAACUUUCGAUGUUUGGGUAUUGGCCAAACAUGGUUGCAACGGGUAACGGAGGGUUAGGGCUCGACCCCGGAGAAGGAGCCUGAGAAACGGCUACUACAUCCAAGGAAGGCAGCAGGCGCGCAAAUUACCCAAUCCCGACUCGGGGAGGUAGUGACAAUAAAUACUGAUACAGGGCCCUUUCGGGCCUUGUAAUUGGAAUGAGUACAAUUUAAAUCCCUUAACGAGGAACAAUUGGAGGGCAAGUCUGGUGCCAGCAGCCGCGGUAAUUCCAGCUCCAAUAGCGUAUAUUAAAGUUGUUGUGGUUAAAAAGCUCGUAGUUGAACCUUGGGCCUGGCUGGCCGGUCCGCCUCACCGCGUGCACUGGUCCGGCCGGGCCUUUCCCUCUGUGGAACCCCAUACCCUUCACUGGGCGUGGCGGGGAAACAGGACAUUUUACUU